UGACCAUGGCCGCGGUCGGUUGCGGAACACGUACGUGGUGGGGCUAUGAGAAAAGACAAAGGGAUGCUUAAGGGAGAAACACGAAUUAACAUUUUCUUUCUAUGAGAGUUCUGCUGUCUUCAGCAGCCAACUGGAUUGGAUGUGUUUAGAGAAGUCAUAGUGUGGUCAGCAUUGUCGAAGAGUAUCGUCAAUGUGACAGCGACCAUACUCAAAUCCACCCUACCUGACAAUGAAUCGUUAAAUUUUGACCUGACCUUUGCACAUGACCUAACAUUAAAUUUUCCCUAUUACGUAGGGCACUCAGGAUCCUCUUCUUGCCCUUCAAGUCCUACAAACUCAACAUAUAAAAACUGCGAGCAUUCGACCACGAGACUAGUCUUGGGUACAGUCUUGGCCGUGAUUUGAACAACUAUUUUAAUACUUUGUAAUUUCGCUACUUCAUUGUAAUAUUGUACUUAAUCACUUUGGUGAAUAAAAGCAUAUAAAAAUAUUAAA